ACAAUCUGGCGCCAUCGUCCUUCUUGUGAGGCCAAGCCUGAAAAUGCGAAGCAGAGAGGCAGGACCAAAAUUGAGGCGAAUCCAGGAACCUGCCAAUGGGUCUCCGGCUCUCCGAUGCGGAGAUAAUGGGGAAGCUCUUGGCAUGGUUGGCUGUAGGUAUGUGAUACCGGAGGAGCAGGAGUCAAAUAGGAUACGCCGACUUUUAAUUCAAGGAACCCUUUUCUGAAACACUUUGCCACAAUGAAGGAAAUAAGAUUACAGCCGAAGAUACAUAUUAAGGAAUUGUACUCUCAGAGAUGUUGAGAAAAGAUACAUGGGUCUUGGAAGAUAAUUACUCAAAAUAUGCAGGGAAGGAAUAAAAUUGAAGGGUGUUUUUCUUAGAGAACAUCAUUUGUCAUAUUUAUUUGAUCAAGAAGUUGAAGAUUUAUAUAAUAAGGAUCUAGUUUGAAGCACUAAGAAGAAUAAGACAUCAGUUUGAAAAGAGGCUCUAUCAGAACAACACGAAUUCUGCUAAAAUUGAAGCAAGAACAAACAUCAAAUAUAUGUUGACACUUGGGUGGAAGAAUGGUGAACUAAUUGAUGCUUUAUGAAAAGUUGAUAGGGACAGUGCUCCAAAGAAAUCAGUUUACAAAUGGAUAACUCGUUUUAAGAAGGCAUAAGGUAAUGUUGAAGAAGAAGCCCACAGUGGCAGAUCAUCCACAUCAGUUUGUGAGAAAAAAGUUAGUUCAUGGCGUAAUUGAAGAAAACCAACAAUUAACAGCAGAAACAACAGCCAACACCAUAGACAUCUCAGUUGGUUCACCUUACACAAUUUUGACUGGAAAAGUUCAGCAAACUUUAUACCUGAUAGGUACCAAAACCAUUGCACCCAGAUCAGCUACAGACAAGAAUAGAGCUUUCAAUGGAAAUUUUAAAUAAGUGGGAUCAGGAUCUUGAAGCCUUUCAUUGAAAAAUUGUAACAGGAGAUGAAACAUGGCUUUACCAGCGCAAUCCUGAAGACAAAACACAAAGCAGUGGUUACCAAGAUAAGUAGUUCAGUUAAAGCACAAGAGGACUGGUUGAGAGCAAAGGUCAUGGCAACAGCUUUUGAAUGCUCAAGGCAUUUUGCUUGUUGACUUUCUGUAGGGCCAAAGAAUGGUAACGUGCUUAUCAUGGGAGUGUUUUGAGAAACUUAGCCAAAGCUUCAGCAGAAAAAUCCCCGAGAAAGACCAGAGAGUUCUUCACCACAACAAUGUUCCUGCUCAUCCCUCUCAUCAAACAAGGCCAUUUUGCAAGAGUUUUGAUGGGAAAUCACUAGGCAUCCACCCUACAGUCCUGGUUUGGCACCUUCUGACUUUUUGUUUCCUAAUCUUAAAAAAAUUUUUCAGGGCAGUACAUUUUUCUCAAGUUAAUGUAUAAAGAAACUGCAUUGAUGUAGAUAAAUUCCCAGAACUCUCAGUUCUUUAGGGAUGGACUAAAUAGCUGGUAUCAUCACUUACAAAAGUGUCUUGAAUGCUAUAGAGCUAAUGUUCAAAAAUAUAGUUUAUAUUUUUUAUCUUUUAACCAUUUUUCCACAAACUUUUUGAAGUCUCCUUGAAUAUGUACCAUUUAUAAAGGGGAAAAAUUCUGUGACUACUCAUGUUGACUUAAUGCUGACUUAAUUUUCUGUUUUGUAAAUAUAUACAAACAAGUUGAUACAAAUUUUGUUUAUAGCCCUUAAACAAAUUUGU
rnacentral:lncRNA from 1 species